rfam:Selaginella moellendorffii unplaced genomic scaffold SELMOscaffold_21, whole genome shotgun sequence.
GACAGCUUGGCCGAGUGGUCUAAAGCGUUGGAUUUAGGCUCCAAUCCUCAAGGGCGUGGGUUCAAAUCCCACAGCUGUCA